UACGGGGGGGGCAAGCGUUGUUCGGAAUUACUGGGCGUAAAGGGCUCGUAGGCGGCCACCUAAGUCAGACGUGAAAUCCCUCGGCUUAACCGGGGAACUGCGUCUGAUACUGGAUGGCUUGAGUUUGGGAGAGGGAUGCGGAAUUCCAGGUGUAGCGGUGAAAUGCGUAGAUAUCUGGAGGAACACCGGUGGCGAAGGCGGCAUCCUGGACCAACACUGACGCUGAGGAGCGAAAGCCAGGGGAGCAAGCGGG
rnacentral:rRNA from 1 species